rnacentral:rRNA from 1 species
UACGUAGGGGGCAAGCGUUGUCCGGAAUCAUUGGGCGUAAAGCGCGUGUAGGCGGUUUCGUAAGUCUGCUGUGAAAGUCGGAGGCUCAACCUUCGAAAGCCGGUGGAUACUGCGGGACUAGAGUGCGGAAGAGGCAAGUGGAAUUCCUGGUGUAGCGGUGAAAUGCGCAGAUAUCAGGAGGAACACCAACGGCGAAGGCAGCUUGCUGGGACGUUACUGACGCUGAGACGCGACAGCGUGGGGAGCAAACAGG